UUUCUUUAGUAUAUUUGUAUGGCUGUUUUCCACACAGUAGGAUUAGAUUUUCUAAAAGAAACAU
rnacentral:tRNA from 1 species